AUUUGGUAGCAUGUGAUGAACUGUAAAUUCUUGAUAGGAAGGGUAUGAAACAUAAUGAGUACCAUAAACUAUGCUGAACUAACU
rfam:Stomoxys calcitrans breed 8C7A2A5H3J4 unplaced genomic scaffold Scaffold900, whole genome shotgun sequence.